CUCAGGUUCGUACGAAGUUCGUUCUUAAAUGGAGUGGUUUGUGUUUUGCAUAGUUUUAGAUAUUGGUUUUCACUGAAAGAUCACCAAAGGACUCCUCCCACCAUAUUAUGAUGUUCUCCAAGUUUUGGACUAAAUCCGAUAUCGAUUGGUCCAUGAAAUUGGACAAUUCAGGUUCGAACGAAGUUCUUUCUUGAAUGGAGUGGUUUGUGUUUUGCAUAGUUUUAGAUAUUGGAUUCCACUCAAAGAGCA
rnacentral:lncRNA from 1 species